GUCUGCAUUCGAGGUGUCGGUUGGCUGCACUCCCUCUGAAGGGCUGCCUCUGUGGACACAUCACCUUCUCCUCUUCUCUGUUAACUCUCCCUGUACCUCACUUUUUCUUUUUUUAGAGACGGGAUUUCGCUGUGUUGCCAUGGCUGGUCUCGAACUCCUGGACUCAAGUGAUCCUCCUGCCUCAGCCUCCUGAGUGGAGACCACCACAUCUGGUAACCUCCUUCUUAUAAGGACGCUUGUGAUGACAUUUAGGGCCCGCCUGCAUAACCCAGGAUGAUCUCAUCGCAAGGUCCUUAACUGAAUCACACACCUGCAAAGAACUUUUCUCCAAGUAAGCCCGACCAGCCACCAUCUCUGACUUGGACUAUUGCAGCUAUCUUCUACCCAGACUCCCUCCUCCACCUCUGCCUCCUCUGAUCCAGUUUCCAUAGAAAAACCAAAGUGAUCUUUUGAAGAGGAUGCAGUACUUUGGUGUAUUCAACAUCUUUUCCAACUUCCUCCUAGUGUGCCUUUCUCUCCUGCAGAGGCUGGGAAGGUGAGGACUGUAUUUCCUAGACUCCAUGAAAUGUAGAUUCCAACUUAGGCUCUGCUUAAGUCAAAUGUAGGUGACCUGAGCUAGUGCAGUGAGGCAGGGAGAGUGCUGGCAGGGGGCAGGCGUUCGCUUCUGCAGGUGGGUCCAGCAGGUGUGGGUCUAGGGGUUGUGGCUCUAGCAGGUGUUGGUCUAACGAGUUUGGCUCCAGUAGAUGUGGGUCUAGGAGGUGUGGCUUCAGCAGGUGUGGGUCUGGCAGAUGUAGCUCCAGCAGGUGUGGGUCUAACAGGUGUGGCUCCAGCAGGUAUGUGUUUAGCAGGUGCAGUGCAGCUCUGCAGUUGUAGUUGCAGCUGUGGCCUGUGGACACUGGACUGCUGCCUGUGCGUUGUGUUCUGAGGCCAGCACGUGCAGCUCAUCUUCUGAUUUCCCAGCUUCCUCACUGAAGCAGAGGUAACGGCUCCCCUGGUGAGUGAGCUCGGCGGUGAUGUUCUACGAAUCCCUCCUUGAGACCCAGGCCAUGGCCUGCUCCUCCAGCCCAUCUAAUGACAUGUGAGCAGAUAAUUCUGUGUUAGCUGCCUUUCUUCUCAAAAAAGCCAGAGUGAUUUCUUUCAUGUUUUGUUGAACUGUGAAUACAAAAGGCCACCCUGAUUUAGUCACUUUCUGGCUCAUUGACCAUAGAAUAACACCCAACAUCCUUCAUGCGCCUAUCGUCCCUGGAUGACUUAGGCCCUUGCCUCCUUCGGGCACAUAUCACUCCCUUUUCUCUUCUGAUGACUCCCCCUCAUCAUCCUGGUCACAGCCUAAUGUCACUUCCCCAGAGAAGCCUCAUUCUUCAGUUGCGAAAAACAAGCCCCACAGACUGCGUGGCACCAACGACAGGUGUGAGUUUUCUCCCAGUUCCAGAGGCUGGAAGUCCAAGGUACUGUCAGCAGGGUGGUUCCUUCUGAGCCUCUUAGGGAAAGAUCUAUUCCUGGCCACUCUCCUGGGCUUUUAGAAGGCCAACUUCAGGUCCACACGGCUUUCUUUCUGUGUGUGUCCAAAUUUCCCCGUUUUAUAAGGACACCAGUGUUACUGGAUUAGGGCCCACCCUGAUGACUUCAUUUAACUGAGUCAAUCUGCCAUGAUCCUACUUACAAUUCCAAUUCCACUGUCAGGUACCGGGGGUUAGGACUUCACCCUGUGAAUUUGGGAGGAUGGACACAAUUCAUCCUCUAACAGCCAGGUUCUCAAUGUCUAACUUCUCCUCAAACUCUGCUCCUUCGUCAAAGCAGUCAACUCUGUGUGACGGUGCAGCUGCUGGUGGGUUAACAUUUGUCCUCAGCAGGGGAGACUGUUGGAUGGUCCCCCAGUGCUUAGCACAGGGCCUGAGGCAGAGCAAGUGCUGAAGAGGUAUUCAUUGGAUUUGUGGAUGAAUGAGUUGAGGAAUAAAUAAUUAUUUCUAAUAGCUGAUGAAAGACCUAAAAGGCCAAUGAGAAGCAAGUGGCCAAAUCACCCAAGACACAGUUGUUGAUCACACAGCUGUUAAAAUGUUUCUGAAGACUUUGUGACGAUGUGGGAAAAUGCUUAUGGUUUGACAUUGAAUGACAUGGUAGAAUACAACCAUUUAUGGAAUAUUACAUGAAGAAAGAACAGAAAAAUGAGAGUCCAGUGUUGAACUCACAAAAAAAUAUAUAUAUAAAUUGUGAUCAGAUUUUCCACAUUAAAUGUAUUAGUUCUUCUCAUUCAUUAAAUAAACAACUUCAUGUCAAAGCUAAAGAAAAAUUAGCAUCCCUAAAAAUUGGAGUCAUAUGAACUAUCCUUUAUUCAUUUUGGAGUAAAAGAUGGGAUGGCAGGAAAUACACAGGGCCUCAUUUCUACUUCUUUGGGCAAAUCUUAUUUUUAGUAACUUGCUUUGCCAUUAGUAAAACCACGUCUGGUCUUACGUAAAAACAAUGUGUUUGAACUUCUUAUUUUGUGUAUUUGCUCUUUAAAAUUUUUAAAAAACAUUUUUCUUACUUCAGAACUAAUGCAUGCUCAUUAAAAAGUUAAAUAUCAAAGUAAAACAAAAACAUAAAGCAACCUAAAAUUGUGCCUCAAAGCCAUAACCAUUAAUUACAUUUUGGUAAUGCUCCUCCAGAAUUUAUUCUAAAUACACAGAUAUGUAUAACACACACACACACAAGCAUUAUGCAGAAAUGAACCCGCACUCCAUGAGACCGCAAACUGCUUUUACAUUUUAAGAUAUUUGUUGCCCAUAUCUGGUGGUGUGGUCCCUAUGCCCCCCUCGUCCUGCUUUUUUUUUACCCAAGCAGUGACUCAGAUGCAGAGUCAUCAACCUAAGGUCUGAGAGAAGCAGCUGAGAUACAGGAAGGGGCCUGGCCGUCUUCUCAAGGGCAGAGUGAGCAGGCCCUGGGUCCCCGACUGGGUCACGCUGCCUGCUGCUCUGUGAGCCGGCUGCCUCUGUUUGUCAGGAAGACCGAGUUCACCACCGCGUGUGCUGGGGAGACUGGAUGGGCCACGUGUGGCAUUCUGGUUGGGUGGAAGCUGCCAUGUAAGUAGCAAAACAACAGAGCCAGGGCUGUCCUGCGCUUACUGGAGUUAAAAUCCCACCAUGUUUGCAGAAUUAUCUAAAGCUUCCAAAGGUUAUUGGAGUUAUUUCCGUUAUUCAGAGCUGUGACCAAGUUUGUGAAACUGUAUAACACGGUUAAGAACACGGAUUAAACAUCUUUUAAGGGGCAGUGGUGUUGGUAUGGGGUGUGGGUUCUCUGUGUGUGUGUGAGAGAGACAAUGUGUGUGUGUGCGCUUUACUAGCAAUUUAGUAAAUUGUAGUCUCCAUAUUUUGUUGUAAACCCAUAGUCCUUGUGUGUCCUCAAAAUUUCUGAAUGAUCAAUAAACAUUGUUUCAUGUUUGGUGAGUAAAAAAAUUAUAUCUUUGA